rnacentral:rRNA from 1 species
UACAGAGGUCUCAAGCGUUGUUCGGAUUCAUUGGGCGUAAAGGGUGUGUAGGUGGCGCCGUAAGUCGGGUGUGAAAUUUCGGAGCUUAACUCCGAAACUGCAUUCGAUACUGCGGUGCUUGAGGACUGGAGAGGAGACUGGAAUUCAUGGUGUAGCAGUGAAAAUUGCGUAGAGAUCAUGAGGAAGACCAGUGGCGAAGGCGGGUCUCUGGACAGUUCCUGACACUGAGACACGAAGGCCAGGGGAGCAAACGGG